CUUGUGAGGAUAAGCGGUAGAAAAUGAAUGAAUGUGUGCGAAUGAGAGGGACCCAAGUGGAAGAGUGAGGUUCCAAGGAGAAGAGAUACAGUAGGUGGAGAAUUUAAGUACUUGGGGUCUACAAUUGUGAAAAGGAGGUGAAGAAGAAGAAGAGUGGAGAGGAGCCGAGGACAUUCGACUGAUGGGCCAUCCUAAAAAUGAAUCUUCCUUCCCCCACUAUAGGGGUGGCAUCCAAUCCAGAGAGGAUGGAGGAAUAUUCCAUAUAGGAAGUAUUGCAGACACAGGAAGACCACCUGCAUGGACCACCAAUCACAGUCAACAAAUACCAGACUGGGCGUGGACACAAAGACAAUCUGGAGUACCUAGUGAGAAUGUUAGAGAGUGUUAGACCCCCACCAUGGAUGUAAAUGCUGUUCCGUGUCGCAGUUGAAGUCUUCCUGUUCGUCACCCCAAGACGACUCGGCUGCCGUCCCCAGCACCAGGAUACGGAAAAUGAACAGGAUGGUCAACCACACCUAGAUGACACAUAGUACAUGCUCAAAAUGGAGUGGUUAGUACGUAGGCCUCACAGCUAGGAGACCCGAGUUCAAUUCCACCCUCGACCAUCUCUGUGUGGGGUUUAAUGAAUUUUACUGAUGGCUUCAUGAAUGAGCGUCUUACCUUGCCAAUGGAAGUGGAGUGUUCCUGUACCUCCUCCAGGAAGUUUCCCAACAGACUCCAAUCAGCCAUCAACAGUCAGUUGCGUUUCUCGCCUGUCAGAUGGAGCAGAGCUUCGGACCUCGGUGCCAGUCAGCAGGCUCAGGUUUUACUCGGAGGAGCAAAGUGUUAUGGAGUAUCCAUUAGUCAGAAGUCCCACACGAUUGUUUGUUUACAAACACUUGAAGAUUGGGUCUAUUUGAUUAUUUAUGACUUUAUUUGUAUUACUUUUUUUUAAUACAAUGAUAUUCAUUCAUUCAUUUUCUACCGCUUAUCUUCACAAGGGUCACGGGUAUGCUGGAGUCUAUCCCAGCUGUCUUCAGGCGAGAGGCAGGGUACACCCUGGACUGGUA